AAGACGGUUGACCACAGAACAUGCGCUCUCUCUGUGUCGUAUGUCAUGUGGUCCACGUCUU
rnacentral:miRNA from 1 species